UCACUUUUUUAUGUUUUUGUUUCUUUAAAUUUGGAUGCAAAAAGUGUUUGUUUAUUUCGUUUCCAUGAAGUUUGGAGGAUUCAUUUUGUGGAGAGACUUUGGUGCUUCAGUGGGUUUUUGUGUGUUAAUGUGGCUAUGAUGAAAAGAGUGUUUUUUUUUUUAAUUGAAUUGAGCUGCAUGAUUUUGAGGGUAAAGGUAACUGUUUUGGUGAUCUUCAUGGUAUAUUUAGAGGGUUUUGGAGUAUUUUUUAUUUUUUAAUAUUUGAUGGAAAACAUGAUAAUCGGAGAAACUUCGAAGUUAUUCUUUUGUGUCUUUAACAUGGUGAUUUGAUUGAAAAUAGGUUAAGCUUCUUUGAAAACGAUUAGAUUCCUAUAAUAGGCUUAGGCUUACUGAUAAAGACUCAAUAUUGCUGAAUUCGAAACAUGGUUAUCUUUUCCUUUUCUCUUGAUGGCUCUGCAUUUUCAUGUAUUUGUGAUUGAUGUAACAAUCGGAGAUUGAUUUACAAUAUUGAGAAGCUGAAAAGCCAGUAAAUUUUCUGUU